rnacentral:rRNA from 1 species
UACGUAGGGGGCUAGCGUUGUCCGGAUUUAUUGGGCGUAAAGAGCGUGUAGGCGGCCAGGUAGGUCUGCUGUGAAAACUCGAGGCUCAACCUCGAGACGUCGGCGGAAACCAUCUGGCUAGAGUCCGGAAGAGGAGAGUGGAAUUCCUGGUGUAGCGGUGAAAUGCGCAGAGAUUUGGAGGAACACCAGUGGCGAAGGCGGUGAUCUGGGCCGGCACUGACGCUGAGGAGCGAAAGCGUGGGUAGCAAACAGG